UGGGGAAUAUUGGACAAUGGGCGAAAGCCUGAUCCAGCCAUGCCGCGUGUGUGAAGAAGGUCUUCGGAUUGUAAAGCACUUUAAGUUGGGAGGAAGGGCAGUAACUUAAUACGUUGCCGUCUUGACGUUACCGACAGAAUAAGCACCGGCUAACUCUGUGCCAGCAGCCGCGGUAAUACAGAGGGUGCAAGCGUUAAUCGGAAUUACUGGGCGUAAAGCGCGCGUAGGUGGUUUGUUAAGUUGGAUGUGAAAGCCCCGGGCUCAACCUGGGAACUGCAUUCAAAACUGACAAGCUAGAGUAUGGUAGAGGGUGGUGGAAUUUCCUGUGUAGCGGUGAAAUGCGUAGAUAUAGGAAGGAACACCAGUGGCGAAGGCGACCACCUGGACUGAUACUGACACUGAGGUGCGAAAGCGUGGGGAGCAAACAGGAUUAGAUACCCUUGUAGUCCCUGAGCGGGCUGGCAAGGCGCAU
rnacentral:rRNA from 1 species